rnacentral:rRNA from 1 species
ACCUGGUUGAUCCUGCCAGUAGUCAUAUGCUUGUCUCAAAGAUUAAGCCAUGCAAGUCUAAGUAUAAUCAAAUUAACUGAUGACACUGCGAAAAGCUCCUUAAAAUAGUUAUAAUUUAUUUGAUAGUGACGUUACUACUCGGAUAGCCGUAGUAAUUCUAGAGCUAAUACGUGCGCAAACGCCCUACUAUGUGAAUGGAAGGGCCGUGUUUAUUAGAUCGAAAACCAGCGCCUCAUUUGUGUGGGUGACCGCACGGGUGGGGAACACUUGUUGAGUCAUGAUAAUCGUCGUAUCGACUUUAGUCGAUUUUUCAUUCAAAUUUCUAACCUAUCAACCUGACGUUAAGGUCGUGUCUUAGAGUAGUCGUGACGGGUGACGGGGAAUCAGGGUUCGAUACCGGAGAUGGGGCCUGAGAAAUGGCCACAAUUGCUAAGGUGAGCAGCAGGCGCGCAAAUUACCCACUGGCAAUAAUAUUGCUGAGGUAGUGACAAAAAAUACCGAUAUCGGACUAUGGUUCGACAAUUGGAAUGGGGUAGGUACAAAUAGCCCACCGAGCAACCAUUAGAGGGCAAGUCUGGUGCCAGCAGCCGCGGUAAUUCCAGCUCUAAUAGUGUAUACUAACGUUGCUGAUGUUAAAAAGCUCGUAGUUGGAUUUAAGAUGGAGCUAUUCGUCUCUGUGUUUUUGUUGGCCCGGGUUUGCUGCUUGGAUGUCUUUCUCUCUGCCGUGGGUUGUUUCAAGAUCCCGGUUGGAGGGGGAGCGCUGGGUGGCGCCGGGCUGGCCGCAGAGAUUGCUUCGUCAAUUAAUUUUUUCGAAUUGUCAUUGUCUUCUUCACUGAUGUAUGGUGACGGUCCGGAAGGUUUACUUUGAAGAAAAUGGAGUGUUCAAAGCAGGCGUUUCGCAGCUGAACACAUUAGCAUGGAAUAAUAAAAUAGGACAUCAGUGGGGCUUUCGCCGGCCUUAUUUUCCCCGAUAUGUUUUUUUUCUUGUCAGGUAUUGGUUGUCUUUGCUUCUGUAAGGGCAGCUGGUGUUUGGUGGGAGGCAUGUUGGGGAGUAGGGAUGUCGGGGGGUCUCUGCUUUUUUUGAUGCAUCCGUUUUGUUGGUUUUCAGGAGCUGGUGUAAUGAUUAAUAGGGACUGUGGGAGGUGUUAGAAUUUCGAUGUCAGAGGUGAAAUUCAUGGAUUUUCGAAAGUCUAACUGGUGCGAAAGCGUUCAUCGAUGAUGUUUUCAUUAAUCAAGAACGAAAGUGAGGGGAUCGAAGACGAUCAGAAACCGUCGUAGUCCUCGCCAUAAACUAUACCGUCUCGGGAUUGGGGGUUGAUUCAAAUACAUAGUCUCCUUUAGCACCGCAGGGAAACCAAAGUUUUCGGGUUCAUGGGGGAGUAUGGCCGCAAGACUGAAACUUAAAGGAAUUGACGGAAGGGCACCACCAGAUGUGGAGCAUGCGGCUCAAUUCGACUCAACACGGGAAAACUUAUCAGGUUCGGACACGGUGAGGAUUGACAGAUUGAUGGCUCUUUCUUGAUUCCGUGGGUGGUGGUGCAUGGUCGUUCUUAGUUGGUGGGGUGGCUUGUCUGCUUAAUUGCGAUAACGAACGAGACCUCUUUUGAUAACUAGGGGGGCGCCACGGCUCGCAAGUGUCGUGGUGUUGUUACCCCUUCUUAUAAAGACUACCGUUGAGAAACGGGGGAAGUGAGGCAAUAACAGGUCCGUUAUGCCCUUAGAUAAUCUGAACCGCACGCGUACUACUCUAGUCGCUUCAGAGCGCUUGCCCGGGCCCGGAAGGGUUGGGUACUCGUUUGAAUAGCGACUGUGCUGGGGAUCGAUUUUUGUAAUUCUGAAUCGUGAACGCGGAAUAUCUCGUAAGUGCAGUUCAUCAGACUGCGCUAAUUACGUCCCUGCCCUUUGUACACACCGCCCGUCGCUCCUACCGAUGAAUGAGAAAAUGAAACGUUCGGAUGGUGCAGUGGCGGAGAGUCUCUCGGGGUUCUCUGUGACCGCUCCAGAAGAGCAGUAAAUUUUAUUAUUUAGAGGAAGGAGAAGUCGUAACAAGGUUUUCGUAGGUGAACC